CAGUCGCCGCGGUAAUACGAAGGGGGCUAGCGUUGCUCGGAAUUACUGGGCGUAUAGGGAGCGUAGGCGGAUCGUUUAGUCAGGGGUGAAAUCCCGGGGCUCAACCUCGGAACUGCCUUUGAUACUGGCGAUCUUGAGUAUGGGAGAGGUGUGUGGAACUCCGAGUGUAGAGGUGAAAUUCGUAGAUAUUCGGAAGAACACCAGUGGCGAAGGCGACACACUGGCCCAUUGCUGACGCUGAGGCUCGAAAGCGUGGGGAGCAAACAGGAUUAGAGACCCCCGUAGUCCCUGUCUCUUAUAC
rnacentral:rRNA from 1 species